ensembl:Y_RNA Y_RNA Y RNA
GGCUGGUCAAAGGCGGUGAGUUAUCUCAAUUGAUCGCUCAGUCAGUUACUCCCAGCUGGUAGAAGGUGGUGAGUUGUCUCAAUUGAUCGUUCAGUGUACUCCUUGUUCUAUUCUUUCUCCCCUUCUCACUACUGUGCUUGACUAAUCUAAA